rnacentral:rRNA from 1 species
GAGAGUACCUGAAGAAUAAGCACCGGCUAACUACGUGCCAGCAGCCGCGGUAAUACGUAGGGUGCAAGCGUUAAUCGGAAUUACUGGGCGUAAAGCGUGCGCAGGCGGACUUUUAAGCCAGAUGUGAAAGCCCCGAGCUUAACUUGGGAAUUGCGUUUGGAACUGGGAGUCUAGAGUCUGUCAGAGGGGGAUGGAAUUCCACGUGUAGCAGUGAAAUGCGUAGAGAUGUGGAGGAACAUCGAUGGCGAAGGCAGUCCCCUGGGAUAAGACUGACGCUCAUGCACGAAAGCGUGGGGAGCAAACAGGAUUAGAUACCCUGGUAGUCCACGCCCUAAACGAUGUCUACUAGUUGUUGGGGUAGCAAUACCUCAGUGACGCAGCUAACGCGUGAAGUAGACCGCCUGGGGAGUACGGUCGCAAGAUUAAAACUCAAAGGAAUUGACGGGGG